AAAAACUCCUGGGUUAUUUCUUCAACCCAUAUUCUGGGUUAUUUGUGUUGGGUUAAAAUUAUGGGUUAUUUUUUCAGAGAGUAAUCAUUUUCUGGGUUAUAGGGCUAAUAUUUUGACCCAAUUCCUGGGUUGUUUGGGUUUCUGGGUUAUUUUUCAAAAAUUAACCCAUGUUCUGGGUUAAUGCCCCGCACCUCGCUGUUGUUCUGGAAUUUUCUCACAACAGUCGUUUGAAAUAACUGUCACUUCACGGAGUUCGCGCUCGAUCCGUGUUGGCCUGGGCUUCUUCGGUGCAACUUCGCUGUGUAUUCAAGGUCUUUUUAAAUGGACAGCUUUGUUGCUGAUAAGCUAACUGAGUGGUGGCUGUUUAAGCUGACAGAGACAUUUUUGAGGGCUUAAAGGGAUAGUUCACCCAAAAAUGAAAAUUCUGUCAUCAUUUACAGGCUGUCUACAGUGUUGGGAAGAAGACAAUCCGGCACUCCACUGAAGAGUCCUGGACAGCGUUCAUACACCAAAUGUCUGUUGGAACAAAUAUGGUGGAAUACAGUGGCGGCUCGUGACUGCUCAUCCGAGGAUGCGCUAAUUCAAAAUGAGUGUUCAGAUUGUCACGUGUGUGGUUUCCUUUUCCAAAAUAUGUGUCCUGCGUGUCGAGAGAUCAAAACUGUUUAUGAUAAAAGAGACACUCAUGUUCACAAAAUACACACUAGACACUUUCUUAACAGUAAACUCUGAUUACGCAUGAGAUUAUGCCAGUAUCUGGCAAACGCAAUCAUCUCUUUUAUCAUAAACCCUUUAGACGCGUCUGCAGCAGGCACUUAUUUUGGCAUGACACGUGAUGCACACAGGAUCUCUCAAAGCGCAGAACACAUAUUUGGAAAUAACGAACCACACACAUGACGGGCUACAUACAUGUUGUGACGAACUUCGCAUGGAGCGCCCUCAAAAAAUAAUUCACCGGCCCCCACUGGUGGAAUACCUUCAGCAAUCGAUGCCAUUCCCCUCUGGGAGAUCUUAAGCUGCAGUAAAAGACACAACCAAUGUUUGAAGACUUAAAGCCUCAAGUUCAAUUUAGUUAUUGAACGUUGUCAAAUGUUUGAGAGAGAAUGUUUAAGAGUUGUUUAUUUUUCUAUUUUUCCUUUCUAAUGUUAUUACA